rnacentral:lncRNA from 1 species
CAAUCUGGAUGCUGACCUAGGCUUGGAAAUCCAAGAGACAAAGUGCUUUCCACCCCACACCCUCCCCUGAAAAGUAUCCUGCUGCUCCUAGGUGCCUUCUCCUCUUUGGAAAGGACAGCUGACCCCAAAUUCUCCUCUGGGAGCCUCUGAUCCAAGAGCUGUGCCUGAGGAAGAGUGUGGGCCCAGGAGAUCCACUUUAACUACUGCUCAAAAGGAUGCUGCCCCAGAGCUUUUGGUGCCAUCUGUCCUCUUCACUUCCCACUGUGCACAUUUUCUCAUGGGGUCCUCAGGCUUGGGUCCAAGCUCCCCACAUGGGAUUUUGGAGAGGUCUUGUGAGGCUCCCAAGGCACCAUCAUCCUUCUAGUCAUCCAGGAGCUCGAAUGUAUUGAAACACAUCACAAGUCUUGGAAAAUUGGAGAAACAGUACUGCAUGAUGGUGGGCCGUGGCUACCUCCCACAAAUGACUCCUGCUCUGGAUUUCACAUAGCCCUGGAUUCUACUCCCAAAGAGAGAGGAUCAGAUUUCUCUUGGUCUCUGGCUCGUGUCUGCAUCCUGGAGUAGAACCCUGAGGCAAAUCUCUACAACAAACUUUAAAGCAAGAUUCAAGUGCACUGCCUUCCCAAAGGGAAUUAACAUUCUCCCUUCUAAAAGAGGCAUUUAAUUGCAAAAUGGUUAUCAGGUUCUAAGACAGCUAUUUAUGUGCUCCACUACCAAGGAAAUACUUUAAACAUAAAAUUACACUCAUAAGCUUACAUUAAAAAAUACUUAGGCAAAGCAAUUGCCCAUAACACCUGGGUCAUAUUCUCCAGAGAGAUAAAGACAACUACGGCUUUGCUGAACAGAUAUUUUAUGUUCACCUUAGACUCAUCUUGUCUGAGACACUUAAAAGGUACAGAUCUUCUGACUGGUGAAGCAUUGCUUUUUAAGUUCCUUUCCAAUUUAGGAUGAAUAUGUUGGUGGUUAUCUCCUCCAAAAAGUGGCAUAAUUGCAGGAAUCACCUCCUGAUGGAAAAGACAGUAGCAACUAAGAAAAACCAGGAAUUCUCAGACUCAUGAGAGAGCCAGCAAAGCUGCCAAUACUCAUCCCUCAGGAUCACUGUGCAGUGUGACCUACGCUCAGGGAAAGAAAUAACUCAAAAGAAGAAACUAGGGACUUCAUGUUCUUGCUCAGGCUUACCCAGGUAAACAUAAGCUCUAGCUUUCAUGU